AAGUUCCGCGGCCUGCUCUUUCCUGUAAGUUAUUUUUGGUGAUUUUUUUAGUGAUUUUUCGGCGUGGUCUUAGUGGUGCUAUACUCUCGGACAGGUUAUCCCGUCUCUCCCGCUAGAUUGAUGAGAUCAGGCAUC
rnacentral:lncRNA from 1 species